CAAGCAUGCGUGAGGCCAUGCCCUUUGCUGGAGCAGGUAGCUUGGGAAAAGACCUGUGCCCAGACUCAGCUACCAGCUGUGGGAUUGCAAUACCUGCAUGGACGGGGCCCUGGUAGAAGAGAUGGUGCUUCUGGCUUUCCUGAAGAACACUGGCUUUGAUGCAUCCUCCUCGUCACUGUUGCUGCCCAGUUCUUUCAUCAGGUCCUCGAUGGCGUAGGGGGACUGAUCCACAAUGAUCUCAAAGAUACCAGUGGCGACGGCAUGCAGCACACUUCGACUGUGUUACAAGAGAGCGGGGAUGAGAGUUGAAAGGCAAAAGCAUGCACGCUCUCCCCUCUCACAAUUAAAAAAUGGAAAUUUGAGGGACACAGGGAAAACGGAUUAAAAAGAUGAUCUCAGAAGAGCAUCUAGCUCUCCAGAUGAGGCAAGUGAACCUGUUACUUCCUGGACAGCAGUCUUUUAAUCCAAACAGUGUCCUGCCAGUGUUUAUAUGCUGCUCUAUAUCACAAGGCAACAACAAAAAAUCUACCCAGAGCAGCUGUCCUAUGUAUGUUUGAAAAAAUAUAAGCAGACAAAACCAAGCAACAAAGGCUGAUCUAGUUCUUAUAAAUCCAUGAAGGUUAUCUCUAGCUUUGAUAAACACAAGGUAUCUUCAAAUGACUGUGCACAUCAUUAAUACAAUAUCCUUCUUUCUCUACAUUCUGAAGUUAUGCUUUGGCUCUUCUUCAAUCCAUUUAUUACCAUGUGGAGCAGUAAAUGCAGAAUUUCUUAAUUCUUAAAAAAUAUGUAUAAUUUCAUUAAACUUACUCCUUUGAAUUGGCAGCAAUUUUGCAGAAAGGUUCAAUGAACUUGAGAUUCUGGUCUGCUGUGAGCUGUAUAAUUAGAAAGAAAGAAAGAAAGAAAAAUAAUUAGUACAGUAAAUAUUGUAUAUGUGUACAAUUAAAUUCCUUGAAUAUUUGGUGUAUGGGAUCUUCUUUAAGAAGUUAAGCUGAAGUCCUUCAGCAUAUUAUCUGGUUCCAACUGACAGGAGUAUCCAGUGACUUUUUGUUACCUCUGCUACCACCAACUUCCAGAAAUUCUCUGGAAGCAUUACAAAAAUGUUGAUUGCCUUGCAGACUUGAAUCUACUGAGUAGAGAAACAUAACAAACCUUAUUAUUUUAGAUAUGGAAACAAGAGGCAGAGAAAACUUAA